rnacentral:rRNA from 1 species
GCUUCGGCGGGCCCGCCUUAACUGGCCGCCGGGGGGCUUACGCCCCCGGGCCCGCGCCCGCCCAAGACACCCUCGAACUCUGUCUGAAGAUUGUAGUCUGAGUGAAAAUAUAAAUUAUUUAAAACUUUCAACAACGGAUCUCUUGGUUCCGGCAUCGAUGAAGAACGCAGCGAAAUGCGAUACGUAAUGUGAAUUGCAAAUUCAGUGAAUCAUCGAGUCUUUGAACGCACAUUGCGCCCCCUGGUAUUCCGGGGGGCAUGCCUGUCCGAGCAUCAUUGCUGCCCUCAAGCACGGCUUGUGUGUUGGGCCCCGUCCUCCGAUCCCGGGGGACGGGCCCGAAAGGCAGCGGCGGCACCGCGUCCGGUCCUCGAGCGUAUGGGGCUUUGUCACCCGCUCUGUAGGCCCGGCCGGCGCUUGCCGAUCAACCCAAAAUUUUAUCCAGGUUGACCUCGGAUCAGGUAGGGAUACCCGCUGAACUUAAGCAUAUCAAUAAGC